rnacentral:rRNA from 1 species
UACGUAGGUGGCAAGCGUUAUCCGGAUUUAUUGGGCGUAAAGGGAACGCAGGCGGUCUUUUAAGUCUGAUGUGAAAGCCUUCGGCUUAACCGGAGUAGUGCAUCGGAAACUGGGAGACUUGAGUGCAGAAGAUGAGAGUGGAACUCCAUGUGUAGCGGUGAAAUGCGUAGAUAUAUGGAAGAACACCAGUGGCGAAAGCGGCUCUCUGGUCUGUAACUGACGCUGAGGUUCGAAAGCGUGGGUAGCAAACAGG